UGGCUCAGUGGUAGAGUGCUUGCCUCGCAUGCAUGAGGCCUUGGGUUCAAUUCCUCA
rnacentral:tRNA from 1 species